CACAAGCUACUGGGCAGAUGUGUGGACAGCUAUGAGCCAAACUUGGGACGUUUGGUUUUUAGGUGUGACCGUCUGGGCAGCAGAAACAAGACAACUAAUCAUAGUUGAGUUGAGAUUAGUAUUAUUAACUUGACUAGUUUGGUUGCAGACUUGUUCAAUACUUAACAAUUUGUAUAAGUUACAAGCUCAAUGGUCCUGCUAUCAAUGUUUGUGUAACUUAAAUUCAUUACAGUUUAGAUACAAUCAAAUGUCCAAACCAUCUCUGAGUGAAUGACAUCAAGGAAACAGGAUCAAAAGAUCAUUCAUUAUAGACCGUUUCAUAGUUGGUUAUAUUUUUCAGGU